UACGUAGGGUGCAAGCGUUGUCCGGAAUUAUUGGGCGUAAAGAGCUCGUAGGCGGUUUGUCGCGUCUGCUGUGAAAACUCGGGGCUUAACCCCCGGGCCUGCAGUGGGUACGGGCAGACUAGAGUGCGGUAGGGGGAGACUGGAAUUCCUGGUGUAGCGGUGAAAUGCGCAGAUAUCAGGAGGAACACCGGUGGCGAAGGCGGGUCUCUGGGCCGUAACUGACGCUGAGGAGCGAAAGCAUGGGGAGCGAACAGG
rnacentral:rRNA from 1 species